UAUUGGUAUAAUAAUUCUUAUUGUUGUCUCUAAAACACCAGGGAGGGUCACUGAGGCACGGCUCGGCCUCCGUUCCACCGACGGUUCCACGGCUGCUGGGAAAGAAGAAGAAGAAGAAGAAGAAGAAGAAGAAGAAGAAGAAGAAGGUUCCACCACAGCUUCUGUCCUCAGGUUAGAACGUCUUUCUGGACUGUUCCUGGAGAUGUCCUCCACAGUUUUCACAUUAUUACGGGUCAUUCUGGACAGAUUUUGGAUAAUUUGGAACAAAUUUUGGACAAAUUUAGAAUAAUUUGGGAAAAUUUUUGAGUAAUUUUGAACACAUUUUGGAAAAAAAUGGUUAUUUUGAACCGAUUUUGAAUAAUUUUGGACAGAUUUUGGAUAAUUCUGUGGAAGUUUUGGGUAUUUUUGUAAUUUUUUUUGAUAAUUUUGGACAGAUUUUAGAUCUUUAUGAGAAAUUUUAGAUAAUUUUGAAGAGUUUAUUGAAUAAUUUUGGACAGAUUUGUAAUAAUUGUGGACAAAAUUUGAAUAAUUUUGGACAGAUUUCGAGUCACUUUGAUCGUUUCAGGUUUCAAUCUUUAUCAGACAGGUUUUCUGAGUCCUUUUGGACGACUGGACAUGUGGAACCUUCUAUUCCUCUCUCUGUAGGUCCACGCGUGAAUGAAGAACUUCUGGAGAACCCUUCACCUUCGACUCAGCGAUUCCCGUUUCCCGGCGCGGUGCGUUUGCGGUCGGCGUGUUAAACGGAGAAUCGACGGCGGCGGCAGGGAGGGAGAUGUGCGGCCGCUGCUCCCCUCCGCUCCUGAAAAAGGCAACUUUCUCCAGAUAUGAGGCUUCGCUGCGGCUGAUAUGACGCCGGGGGUUCUGGAGGAAGGAACCGGCCGUGGAACCGGAGCGGCUGGGAACGUCGCCGUGCUGCGGAUCACGUCCACCCGGUUACACCACGGUUGUAUUGCAUUUAUCACACAGUUAGGAGAACAAGAGUAACAUCGGGAACUACCAAACGAUUUCUGCGCAUUUCCUCCGCUGUCCUCGUCGUUUCCAUGGUGACGAAGCAGCUUUUGGUUCUGAAACGGGGAGAAGAAGAAGGAAGGAACGCCCCCCUACCGUCCCAGGAUGGACUCUUCCAGACCCCCAGGUAGCACCACAUGGUCCGGUCCACGGAGUCCUCAGAGAGCUGCUCCUGGUCUUUGUGCUCAGAGUCUGACGAGCAGAUUCACCAAAGUGCUGGACUUCAUCUCUGAUGUCUGAAGAGGAGUUCUAUCAACAUUCAGUCACUCUAGGCCACAUUUCAAGGAAUUUUCUAAAAUUUAUGAAGCGUUUUGCACUUUUUUCAAUAGAUUUUGCAGAAAUUUUGAAUCAUUUUAAACAAUUCUGCACAAGUUUCGAGUCAUUUUUGAUCAUUUAUAGACAAAUUUUCAGUCAUUUUCCAAAAGUUUAGUUAUUUAGGACACAAGUUGAGUAACUUGGAACAAUUUCAGACAUAAUUUUUUUGCAAUUUGUGAAGCAUUUAGCACUUUUUUCAACUGAUUUUCAACAAAUCUUGAAUAAUUCUGGACAGAUUUUGAAUAAUUUUUGAAAACAUUUUGGACAAUUUUGAACAAAUUUAGAUUUUUUUGGUAAUUUUGAACAGUUUGAAUAAUUUUGAACAAUUUAGAUUUUCUGGGUAAUUUUAAAGAGAUUUUGAAUAUUUUUGGACAAUUUUUAUAUAAUAUAUAUAAUAUUUAAAUAAUUCUGGACAAGUUUCGAGUCAUUUUUGAUCAUUGAUGAAUGGUUUUGAGCUCAUGUUGAAGCUUCUGGACACCUUCUGAGUGACUUUUCACAAUAGAUAGAUAUUUCCCACUGAUUUUGAGUAGUUUUGAACAAUUUUGGACAAGAUUCAGGCUAUUUUCAAUCAUUUGUGAAUCAUUUUGGACAACUUCCAA
ensembl:lncRNA